UGAAUAAUUAUUUGUUGGUUUUCUGUUAGAGUUUAUUUAAUGUGUGUUGCAGUGUCCAUCUGGCCCGUAGACUGUUGCAGCUGGAGAAACAGAACACACUGCUGAGGAGAGAUCUGGAGAGACGCAACGCACACACAGGACAGAUCUCUGAGGAGCUGGAAGCAGCUAAUCGUCUCCUACAGCAGGCCCAGCAGCCCUACAGUUACCUGAUCGACACGGUGAGACAGAGAGACACACAGAUACUGUCCCUCAGAGAACGCAUCACACAGCUGGAGGAGGACACCAGAUCUCUGAGGAAAGAGAAGACGUCUCUCCAACAGGUGAAGAACAAUAUGGCCUCCGACCUGGAGCGACUGCUCAACCACCGAGAGACGCAGACGCAGAGCUGAUAACGGAAUUUGAUUCAAGAAAUGUUCUGCUUCGCUAUUCACAACCGCAGCAUUCUACCGCUGGCCCACUGGCAUCAAGUAUGUACCCCUCAGGCCUGGCCGACAGCUGCUCCUCAUAUUAGGCCUGGCGUAUUAGAGAGGGCCUGGCUGUUUGAAAUGCCAGAGGGACAGCCAGGGCAUGUGUCCACAUGGCGAGAAAUAGAGGGCUGAUACCGACCCGGAGCCACAACGUUCCUGACGGCUCUGUAACCAACCGACCCGGAGCCACAACGGUCCUGACGGCUCUGUAGCCAACCGACCCAGAGCCACAACGUUCCUGACGGCUCUGUAGCCAACCGACCCAGAGCCACAACGUUCCUGAUGGCUCUGUAGCCAACCGACCCAGAGCCACAACGUUCCUGAUGGCUCUGUAGCCAACCGACCCGGAGCCACAACGUUCCUGAUGGCUCUGUAGCCAACCGACCCAGAGCCACAACGUUCCUGAUGGCUCUGUAGCCAACCGACCCGGAGCCACAACGUUCCUGAUGGCUCUGUAGCCAACCGACCCAGAGCCACAACGUUCCUGAUGGCUCUGUAGCCAACCGACCCGGAGCCACAACGUUCCUGAUGGCUCUGUAGCCAACCGACCCAGAGCCACAACGUUCCUGAUGGCUCUGUAGCCAACCGACCCGGAGCCACAACGUUCCUGACGGCUCUGUAGCCAACCGACCCAGAGCCACAACGUUCCUGAUGGCUCUGUAGCCAACCGACCCGGAGCCACAACGUUCCUGACGGCUCUGUAACCAACCGACCCGGAGCCACAACGUUCCUGACGGCUCUGUAGCCAACCGACCCGGAGCCACAACGUUCCUUGAUGGCUCUGUAGCCAACCGACCCGGAGCCACAACGUUCCUGAUGGCUCUGUAGCCAACCGACCCGGAGCCACAACGUUCCUGAUGGCUCUGUAGCCAACCGACCCAGAGCCACAACGUUCCUGACGGCUCUGUAGCCAACUAACUACAACACUGCUCUGUAGCCAACUAGCUACAACACUUUUCUGUAGCCAACUAGCUACAACACUGCUCUGUAGCCAACUAGCUACAACACUGCUCUGUAACCAACUAGCUACAACACUGCUCUGUAACCAACUAGCUACAACACUGCUCUGUAACCAACUAGCUACAACACUGCUCUGUAACCAACUAGCUACAACACUGCUCUGUAACCAACUAGCUAAAACACUGCUCUGUAACCAACUAGCUACUAGCUAAAACACUGCUCUGUAACCAACUAGCUACUAGCUAAAACACUGCUCUGUAACCAACUAGCUACUAGCUAAAACACUGCUCUGUAACCAACUAGCUACUAGCUAAAACACUGUUCUGUAACCAACUAGCUACUAGCUAAAACACUGCUCUGUAACCAACUAGCUACAACACUGCUCUGUAACCAACUAGCUACAACACUGCUCUGUAACCAACUAGCUACUAGCUAAAACACUGCUCUGUAACCAACUAGCUAAAACACUGCUCUGUAGCCAACUAGCUAAAACACUGCUCUGUAACCAACUAGCUACAACACUGCUCUGUAGCCAACUAGCUAAAACACUGCUCUGUAACCAACUAGCUACAACACUGCUCUGUAACCAACUAGCUACAACACUGCUCUGUAACCAACUAGCUAAAACACUGCUCUGUAGCCAACUAGCUACAACACUGCUCUGUAGCCAACUAGCUAAAACACUGCUCUGUAACCAACUAGCUACAACACUGCUCUGUAACCAACUAGCUACAACACUGCUCUGUAGCCAACUAGCUAAAACACUGCUCUGUAACCAACUAGCUACAACACUGCUCUGUAGCCAACUAGCUAAAACACUGCUCUGUAACCAACUAGCUACAACACUGCUCUGUAACCAACUAGCUACAACACUGCUCUGUAACCAACUAGCUACAACACUGCUCUGUAGCCAACUAGCUAAAACACUGCUCUGUAACCAACUAGCUACAACACUGCUCUGUAACCAACUAGCUACUAGCUAAAACACUGCUCUGUAACCAACUAGCUACUAGCUAAAACACUGCUCUGUAACCAACUAGCUACUAGCUACAACACUGCUCUGUAACCAACUAGCUACUAGCUAAAACACUGUUCUGUAACCAACUAGCUACUAGCUAAAGCACUGCUCUGUAACCAACUAGCUAAAACACUGCUCUGUAACCAACUAGCUACUAGCUAAAACACUGCUCUGUAACCAACUAGCUACUAGCUAAAACACUGCUCUGUAACCAACUAGCUACUAGCUAAAACACUGCACUGUAACCAACUAGCUAAAACACUGCUCUGUAACCAACUAGCUACAACACUGCUCUGUAGCCAACUAGCUACAACACUGCUCUGUAACCAACUAGCUAAAACACUGCUCUGUAACCAACUAGCUAAAACACUGCUCUGUAGCCAACUAGCUACAACACUGCUCUGUAACCAACUAGCUAAAACACUGCUCUGUAACCAACUAGCUAAAACACUGCUCUGUAACCAACUAGCUAAAACACUGCUCUGUAACCAACUAGCUACUACACUGCUCUGUAACCAACUAGCUAAAACACUGCUCUGUAACCAACUAGCUAAAACACUGCUCUGUAGCCAACUAGCUACAACACUGCUCUGUAACCAACUAGCUAAAACACUGCUCUGUAACCAACUAGCUAAAACACUGCUCUGUAACCAACUAGCUAAAACACUGCUCUGUAACCAACUAGCUACAACACUGCUCUGUAACCAACUAGCUAAAACACUGCUCUGUAACCAACUAGCUAAAACACUGCUCUGUAGCCAACUAGCUACAACACUGCUCUGUAACCAACUAGCUAAAACACUGCUCUGUAACCAACUAGCUACAACACUGCUCUGUAACCAACUAGCUAAAACACUGCUCUGUAACCAACUAGCUAAAACACUGCUCUGUAACCAACUAGCUAAAACACUGCUCUGUAACCAACUAGCUAAAACACUGCUCUGUAACCAACUAGCUACUAGCUAAAACACUGCUCUGUAACCAACUAGCUAAAACACUGCUCUGUAACCAACUAGCUACAACACUGCUCUGUAACCAACUAGCUACAACACUGCUCUGUAGCCAACUAGCUACAACACUGCUCUGUAACCAACUAGCUAAAACACUGCUCUGUAACCAACUAGCUACUAGCUAAAACACUGCUCUGUAACCAACUAGCUACUAGCUAAAACACUGCUCUGUAACCAACUAGCUACAACACUGCUCUGUAACCAACUAGCUACAACACUGCUCUGUAACCAACUAGCUAAAACACUGCUCUGUAACCAACUAGCUACUAGCUAAAACACUGCUCUGUAACCAACUAGCUACUAGCUAAAACACUGUUCUGUAACCAACUAGCUAAAACACUGCUCUGUAACCAACUAGCUACUAGCUAAAACACUGCUCUGUAACCAACUAGCUAAAACACUGCUCUGUAACCAACUAGCUACUAGCUAAAACACUGUUCUGUAACCAACUAGCUAAAACACUGCUCUGUAACCAACUAGCUACUAGCUAAAACACUGCUCUGUAACCAACUAGCUACUAGCUAAAACACUGCUCUGUAACCAACUAGCUAAAACACUGCUCUGUAACCAACUAGCUACUAGCUAAAACACUGUUCUGUAACCAACUAGCUACUAGCUAAAACACUGCUCUGUAACCAACUAGCUAAAACACUGCUCUGUAACCAACUAGCUACUAGCUAAAACACUGCUCUGUAACCAACUAGCUAAAACACUGCUCUGUAACCAACUAGCUAAAACACUGCUCUGUAACCAACUAGCUAAAACACUGCUCUGUAACCAACUAGCUACAACACUGCUCUGUAACCAACUAGCUAAAACACUGCUCUGUAACCAACUAGCUAAAACACUGCUCUGUAGCCAACUAGCUACAACACUGCUCUGUAACCAACUAGCUAAAACACUGCUCUGUAACCAACUAGCUACAACACUGCUCUGUAACCAACUAGCUAAAACACUGCUCUGUAACCAACUAGCUAAAACACUGCUCUGUAACCAACUAGCUAAAACACUGCUCUGUAGCCAACUAGCUACAACACUGCUCUGUAACCAACUAGCUAAAACACUGCUCUGUAACCAACUAGCUACAACACUGCUCUGUAACCAACUAGCUAAAACACUGCUCUGUAACCAACUAGCUACUAGCUAAAACACUGCUCUGUAGCCAACUAGCUACAACACUGCUCUGUAACCAACUAGCUAAAACACUGCUCUGUAACCAACUAGCUACAACACUGCUCUGUAACCAACUAGCUAAAACACUGCUCUGUAACCAACUAGCUACUAGCUAAAACACUGCUCUGUAACCAACUAGCUAAAACACUGCUCUGUAACCAACUAGCUAAAACACUGCUCUGUAACCAACUAGCUACAACACUGCUCUGUAACCAACUAGCUACAACACUGCUCUGUAACCAACUAGCUACAACACUGCUCUGUAGCCAACUAGCUACAACACUGCUCUGUAACCAACUAGCUAAAACACUGCUCUGUAACCAACUAGCUACUAGCUAAAACACUGCUCUGUAACCAACUAGCUACUAGCUAAAACACUGCUCUGUAACCAACUAGCUACAACACUGCUCUGUAACCAACUAGCUACAACACUGCUCUGUAACCAACUAGCUAAAACACUGCUCUGUAACCAACUAGCUACUAGCUAAAACACUGCUCUGUAACCAACUAGCUACUAGCUAAAACACUGUUCUGUAACCAACUAGCUAAAACACUGCUCUGUAACCAACUAGCUACUAGCUAAAACACUGCUCUGUAACCAACUAGCUAAAACACUGCUCUGUAACCAACUAGCUACUAGCUAAAACACUGUUCUGUAACCAACUAGCUAAAACACUGCUCUGUAACCAACUAGCUACUAGCUAAAACACUGCUCUGUAACCAACUAGCUACUAGCUAAAACACUGCUCUGUAACCAACUAGCUAAAACACUGCUCUGUAACCAACUAGCUACUAGCUAAAACACUGUUCUGUAACCAACUAGCUACUAGCUAAAACACUGCUCUGUAACCAACUAGCUAAAACACUGCUCUGUAACCAACUAGCUACUAGCUAAAACACUGCUCUGUAACCAACUAGCUAAAACACUGCUCUGUAACCAACUAGCUAAAACACUGCUCUGUAACCAACUAGCUAAAACACUGCUCUGUAACCAACUAGCUACAACACUGCUCUGUAACCAACUAGCUAAAACACUGCUCUGUAACCAACUAGCUAAAACACUGCUCUGUAGCCAACUAGCUACAACACUGCUCUGUAACCAACUAGCUAAAACACUGCUCUGUAACCAACUAGCUACAACACUGCUCUGUAACCAACUAGCUAAAACACUGCUCUGUAACCAACUAGCUAAAACACUGCUCUGUAACCAACUAGCUAAAACACUGCUCUGUAGCCAACUAGCUACAACACUGCUCUGUAACCAACUAGCUAAAACACUGCUCUGUAACCAACUAGCUACAACACUGCUCUGUAACCAACUAGCUAAAACACUGCUCUGUAACCAACUAGCUACUAGCUAAAACACUGCUCUGUAACCAACUAGCUAAAACACUGCUCUGUAACCAACUAGCUACAACACUGCUCUGUAACCAACUAGCUACAACACUGCUCUGUAGCCAACUAGCUACAACACUGCUCUGUAACCAACUAGCUAAAACACUGCUCUGUAACCAACUAGCUACUAGCUAAAACA